AUUGAACGCUGGCGGCAGGCCUAACACAUGCAAGUCGAACGAGUGGCGGACGGGUGAGUAAUGUCUGGGAAACUGCCUGAUGGAGGGGGAUAACUACUGGAAACGGUAGCUAAUACCGCAUACCCUCAGAUGUGCCCAGAUGGGAUUAGCUAGUUGGUGGGGUAACGGCUCACCAGGGCGACGAUCCCUAGCUGGUCUGAGAGGCGGACCACCCAAACUGGAACUGAGACACGGGCCAGACUCCUACGGGAGGCAGCAGUGGGGAAUAUUGCACAAUGGGCGCAAGCCUGAGGCAGCGAUGCCGCGUGUAUGAAGAAGGCCUUCGGGUUGUAAAGUACUUUCAGCGGGGAGGCGUUACCCGCAGAAGAAGCACCGGCUAACUCCGUGCCAGCAGCCGCGGUAAUUC
rnacentral:rRNA from 1 species